rnacentral:piRNA from 1 species
UUCAACUGUGAGUGACGGUGAAUCAAGCU